CCAGUACCGUGAGGGAAAGGUGAAAAGCACCCCGACGAGGGGAGUGAAACAGUUUCUGAAACCGGACGCCUACAAGCAGUCGGAGCCACCUUGAGUGGUGACGGCGUACCUUUUGUAUAAUGGGUCAACGACUUGGUCUAUCGAGCAAGCUUAAGCCGUUAGGUGUAGGCGCAGCGAAAGCGAGUCUUAAAAGGGCGCUCAGUUCGAUGGAUCAGACCCGAAACCGAGUGAUCUAGCCAUGAGCAGGAUGAAGGUUGGGUAACACCAACUGGAGGUCCGAACCCACACCCGUUGAAAAGGGUCGGGAUGACUUGUGGCUAGGGGUGAAAGGCUAAUCAAACUCGGAGAUAGCUGGUUCUCCGCGAAAGCUAUUUAGGUAGCGCCUCGGACGAAUAC
rnacentral:ncRNA from 2 species